rnacentral:rRNA from 1 species
CCUACGGGAGGCAGCAGUGAGGAAUAUUGGUCAAUGGACGAGAGUCUGAACCAGCCAAGUAGCGUGAAGGAUGACUGCCCUAUGGGUUGUAAACUUCUUUUAUAUGGGAAUAAAAUGUUCCACGUGUGGGAUUUUGUAUGUACCAUAUGAAUAAGGAUCGGCUAACUCCGUGCCAGCAGCCGCGGUAAUACGGAGGAUCCGAGCGUUAUCCGGAUUUAGUGGGUUUAAAGGGAGCGUAGGUGGAUUGUUAAGUCAGUUGUGAAAGUUUGCGGCUCAACCGUAACAUUGCAGUUGAAACUGGCAGUCUUGAGUACAGUAGAGGUGGGCGGAAUUCGUGGUGUAGCGGUGAAAUGCUUAGAUAUCACGAAGAACUCCGAUUGCGAAGGCAGCUCACUGGACUGCAACUGACACUGAGGCUCGAAAGUGUGGGUAUCAAACAGGAUUAGAUACCCCAGUAGUC